GGGCCGCUAGCUCAGCAGGCAGAGCAACGCCCUUUUAAGGCGUGGGUCAAAGGUUCGAAUCCUUUGCGGCUCA
rnacentral:tRNA from 1 species